rnacentral:snRNA from 1 species
GGCAAUUGGCUUCCAGCUCUUGAUACCAUUUACCUCUUCAAUAUCCUGUCUUGAGCUGAUUUGGCUGAUCGGGCUGGCUAGGGAGGUAUCACCUGCCUCCCUGACUGCUCCAUGUACAUCCUUCCUGAACCUGCAUGUUUGGCUGAAGAAUUCUGCCUUCCCGAUAGAGAAGGACCAUUGUUUUGUCAAGGGUACAUGAACUGCAGGACUCCUCUUUUAGACCCUCCAAACAGCUCUUAAGAUCCUCUCUAGAUGGAAGCAUGUAUUUAUAUCUUCUUUAUGCUCCUCAGAGA